UCUGAGGAUGGGAGGUUCUGGGGUUCACACUGCCUCUGCCAGAAGGGUGUUGGGGUGUAUGUGGUACAGCGAGUGUUAAACCACCAAAAGUAGGAAACUGGGGAAAUCUCUUUUAAUGUGCAGACAUGCGUUGGUUGAGGCCAACCAACUAACCAGAACAGAGACAAACCCAGCAGAGAAACAGAAGGUGGAUAAGGCUCAGUCCAGAAUGCAGCUGGAGCAGAAUGACUUCCUGGGGAGGCGAGAGCAGAAGGAAAGGGCUCACAGCUGAGCUGUGCUGCAGAUGGCCAGGCACAGGAUGUCGGGCAAGCCGCUGCCUGUGGGAAGAGCACGUGUGGUGUCAGAGAUGGGCUCCACCAUCUCUGGAACGGUUGUGCUGAUCUGGGAGGGCUUUUGGUGUACAUUAGGAUUUAAUAGCACAGGUAAUUGCAGAGAGACCAGUGCUGGGGGAGAAGCCUGUGAUUCCCUGGAUGAAAGAAGCAUGAAGGGCACUGCAAGCUGCCAGUGGCCUUUUGUGGUGCAAGCAAAAGUACUGGAACAUUUGAGAAACUGAGGCUGUCACAGGAAUUAUUUGUGAGGCAAAAGCUGCAUGUGUGUGUGUGUGUAGGUAGGUAGCAUCUCACACAUUUUAUGAACCACUACCUGAAUUGAUGUAAACAGAAAUAGAAGUCAGAAUGGAAGCUAAGGGAAAACAGGGCUAAGGGGAGCUUUCACUGAGCAUCUAUUUGAGGUUGCCUCCCAGGCUCCCUGGAAAGCACAUAGUGGCUCAAAAUCAAGCUUCAUUAUGUGGUUCUAAGUUUAUGAAAUUAAUAAGAGGGGAAGAUUAACAUCCUUACAUCUAUCUCUGAUCAAGGUGUUUUAAUUCCUUUCUAGGAACAAGCACCUUCCCAGGGCUUCUCAGCAGAGGAAAAUGGAGCCUCUCUUCCCAGAGAAUGUUUGUAGCAGUGCCAAGCAGAUGCUCCUUCCUUCCACCCCUGGCCCCCACAUCUCUCGUAGGGCAGGGUGGGUAGUGCCCAGCUUGCCCUGGAUGUGCAGCUGCCCCUUUGGGCUGCAAACCAAGCUGUCAGGGCCAGCACUGAGCCCACUGUGUCAUGAGCCAGGCGGCUGUCCGGGCUGCAGCAGGUAGACCCCCAGAGGGGAAGGACAUCUGAGGCAGGCUGCCCCCUGAGCAGCAUGGAAAGGAGCCAUCCCUGAAGCAGGAUUGCCUUUGAGCUGGCAGCAGACGAGUGAUUGGCAUUGGGCAGCGCUGCUGAGACUCUGGCAGGCCGUUUAGCAGAGAACCUUGGCUAAUGAAUGUCAUCCACACCUAGCAGAUGUGCCACUGCCUGCCAUGCCAGAUUUUUGACAUAAUACAGGGCUGCUGGACACGACAGUGCUCGGGAAAAGCCAGGGAGCGACACGUGCCUUCAACGUGGCGUUUGGUCCCGCUCGUGCUCUGCGAGAGAAACGAAACCUGCGGGGGGGGAGGGAGGGAGGCACAUCCGCAUAUACCGGCCCUCGACCCUGAUUUUAUCGGUGCAUAAAUCGUAUUUGUGUUUGCCUUCACUCCUGUGCCGGGGAAUCUUAAAAGGAAAACCCACC